rnacentral:rRNA from 1 species
UACGGAGGAUCCGAGCGUUAUCCGGAUUUAUUGGGUUUAAAGGGUGCGUAGGUGGUUUGAUAAGUCAGCGGUGAAAGUUUGCAGCUUAACUGUAAAAAUGCCGUUGAAACUGUCGGACUUGAGUGUAAAUGAGGUAGGCGGAAUGCGUGGUGUAGCGGUGAAAUGCAUAGAUAUCACGCAGAACUCCGAUUGCGAAGGCAGCUUACUAAGCUACAACUGACACUGAAGCACGAAAGCGUGGGGAUCAAACAGGAUUAGAUACCCGGGUAGU